AGUCUUCCUGGACUGGAUGUUUCUCCUGGAGAUUUGUUCGUGUCCAAUGGCGUUGCUGAUAUUUUAAAUAAAUCAGCCUAUUCAGACACUAAGAAAUCAAAGUGGCCUUUCUCGAGGCGUAACACACAGACAAAAGGGAAGACUCGCAGCGUAGCUGACAUUGACAAGUGUCUGGCUGGCAUUCAGAUCCAGGAAUGGCGAGACACAGACUUUCAGACAU